rnacentral:misc_RNA from 1 species
GCCAAAAUUACAUCUGUAAAAUCAUGAGAUCGGCAGGUUUCAAUUAUUUCUGAUAUAACCUGACCACCACGAUUCAUCCGCUGAGCAUUAGGGAACACAAUUUUCAACUCCUUGACAAACUGAGUAAGAGGAGCACUAGGAUUUCUUGAAGUGGUAAGCAAAAUUUUGGGAUCUUUUUCAGAUGCAUUAGCAUAUUCAUCAUCAAUAGUUGAUCGAGGUACAGCAGUAAUUUCAUCUUCAAGAUCGAUUUCUUUCCGAAGAGCAGCUUCUUCGUUCCUGAGCUCAGUUGGAAUUGGUUUUCCCUCUUCUAAAGCUUCUCUGAUUUUGCGUUUCUUCUCAUAUAGCAAACGCUCCUUCCCUUCUAAGCUUUUCCUGUAUAGGUACUCUCUUCGCAGCCUAAUGUUCCUUCUAUGCAUGGCGGCUACUACAAAAACGUCGUUGUUUUCAAGGUUUUUCUGGUUUUAGGGUUUAAGAGAUUUUGGGGAAAAAGAAAGAGAGGGUUUUGUAAGAAGACAAAAUAAAAUGGGCUUUCACUAUGCAAAUAUGUAGGACGAUGAAACACUCAAAUUUAAGAUAAAAAUAUUACUACAUUUUUCUAUGCGCA